GUUGUAGCAGGUACAUUGUAAAGAAGCAUGAUUGUUUCUAGAAAUGCAAAAACAGGUGGCAAAAUUGUAAAACAUGUGGACAUUCCAAAGAAUAUUUGAUGAUGUUUUUAAAAGCCUUCAAGCUACAAGCCCUGGAUCCCUAAGAAUUGCUCACUGAAGCAAAAAACAUGGCAAGAUGUUGGGGGUCAAAGCUGAGUGAAGAGCAGACCUACAAAGCCUUGGUGGAAUAAUUCUUGAAAACAUGGCUGAUGAGGGAAGAAAAAGCAAAGUGUUGGAACUUUGGGAUCAAACCAUCCUAGGUGUCUAAUACAAGGCCAGGAUCCGUGAGAACUGCCCCCAGAACUAGACAGAAUUGACCUCGGGGAAAAUGCUGUAGAUGUAAUGCUGAGUGAACCAGAACAAAACUAUGAAGACUGGGCCUAGUGGAAAUUGAAUUCUUAAAGGAGAGGGUGCCUGAUAAAGGUGGUUACUUCUGGACCUCAGUUUGAUUUCUGAUGAAAGCCAAAGCUAAAGUGCCUAAAGUGUGAGCAGGUUUUCUUAAACUGGGCAAGAUACAAGGUAACCGUAUUUUCUGGCCCCUUCGCCUCUUUUUUUUUUUUCAGACGGGAUGGGCGGGAAAAGAGGGCCUGGGGGAAGGGUACCGCAUAUUUGUUGGCAAAACUAGUGCACUACUGCCAUCCUGAGGAAGUCAUUUUAAAACAACUUACGCCGUUUUUGCUUUGUUUCCGUGAGGACUUUCGGUUCAGAAAGGUCCGUUAAGUGGAGAGGCUAAGCACGCCCUGGCCGCAAAUUGGACCUCUCUGGCCUGAGUUGUUGCGGGAACUCUGGCAAAGGACUCCUAACGGUACGACAAAACUGAGGUCUUGGCUUAGGAGCGGGUCAGUGAGGAGGCAGGACAGAACCAGGAAGUCCCAGCACCGGAAGUUGUGGGUGGGGCUUUGGUUUCUUCCUAGUAUGGGAGACGUUAGAAGAAGCCUUUUGGAGCUCAGUGCAGGCCUUAUUGUCUUCUGUCUCCUGUCCCAGCUCUUCAGAGGGUGAGGCAAGCUUGUUCACAGUGUUCUGGAGCCUUAG